GAUUGAAGAACGUAGCGAAAUGCGAUACGUAGUGUGAAUUGCAGAAUUCAGUGAAUCAUCGAAUCUUUGAACGCACAUUGCACCUCUCGGUAUUCCGGGAGGUAUGCCUGUUCGAGCGUCAUUUGUACCCUCAAGCUCUGCUUGGUGUUGGGUGUUUGUUCCGCCUCUGUGUGUGAACUCGCCUCAAAACAAUUGGCAGCCGGCGUACUUGUUUCGGAGCGCAGCACAUUUUGCGAUCCAGAUCAACGUACAGCGGCAUCCAAGAAGCCUUAUUUAACGCUCUUGACCUCGGAUCAGGUAGGGAUACCCGCUGAACUUAAGCAUAUCAAUAAGCGGAGGA
rnacentral:misc_RNA from 1 species